CUUCCGUAGGUGAACCUGCGGAAGGAUCAUUACCGAGUGUAGGGUUCCUAGCGAGCCCAACCUCCCACCCGUGUUUACUGUACCUUAGUUGCUUCGGCGGGCCCGCCAUUCAUGGCCGCCGGGGGCUCUCAGCCCCGGGCCCGCGCCCGCCGGAGACACCACGAACUCUGUCUGAUCUAGUGAAGUCUGAGUUGAUUGUAUCGCAAUCAGUUAAAACUUUCAACAAUGGAUCUCUUGGUUCCGGCAUCGAUGAAGAACGCAGCGAAAUGCGAUAACUAGUGUGAAUUGCAGAAUUCCGUGAAUCAUCGAGUCUUUGAACGCACAUUGCGCCCCCUGGUAUUCCGGGGGGCAUGCCUGUCCGAGCGUCAUUGCUGCCCAUCAAGCACGGCUUGUGUGUUGGGUCGUCGUCCCCUCUCCGGGGGGGACGGGCCCCAAAGGCAGCGGCGGCACCGCGUCCGAUCCUCGAGCGUAUGGGGCUUUGUCACCCGCUCUGUAGGCCCGGCCGGCGCUUGCCGAACGCAAAUCAAUCUUUUUCCAGGUUGACCUCGGAUCAGGUAGGGAUACCCGCUGAACUUAAGCAUAUCAAUAAGCGGAGGAA
rnacentral:rRNA from 2 species